rnacentral:rRNA from 1 species
UACGGAGGGUGCAAGCGUUAUCCGGAUUCACUGGGUUUAAAGGGAGCGUGGGAGGGCAGGUAAGUCAGUGGUGAAAUCUUCGAGCUUAACUCGGAAACUGCCGUUGAUACUAUCUGUCUUGAAUACCGUGGAGAUGAGCGGAAUAUGUCAUGUAGCGGUGAAAUGCUUAGAUAUGACAUAGAACACCAAUUGCGAAGGCAGCUGGCUACAGGGAUAUUGACACUGAGGCACGAAAGCGUGGGGAUCAAACAGG